UCUUCUACAAGUGUGCUUGCAAAACAGUUACAAAAAUGCACCAGAUGCGCCAACGUUCACUUUAUUGGACAGAGCUUUCGUAUGGAGGGCUCCGUAAGCUUUGUGAAAUGAAAAUGCCUCCUUCAAGGUUUGCCUUGUUUAUUAUCAUGACCGUUGGAACUGAUACUGUCACUAUAUAUGAUCUGAAGAGCCACCUGGCCACCCAUGACAGAAUCUGGACCCGUUACCGCAGUUAUGAAAGCAGCACUAACGGAGAUAAGCACGUGUGCAUUUACCUCGAAGCAAGGAAUCAGGGGCACUCAAAUUAUUUCUUCACUAAGCAUUACGAGGUUGGUCGCACGUGGAGGAGUCGGCAGUUGUAUGGAACAAUAGCUGAAGGCAGAGAUGGACCCAUAUUAGUAGUUACAAGCAAACAAGGUAAAGGUAAAACAGU
rnacentral:lncRNA from 1 species